ensembl:lncRNA
UUUUUUUUUUGAGGGGAAAGAGCCAAGGGUGAAAAUACUUGACUUCAUCUUCAUCUUCAAAUAACAUUUACACAUGUUCACAGCUACAACAUGGCACAAUGGCCAACAAGAAGGAAACCACCCCUAUAAGACAAGAUUUUCUGGCUCUGGCAAGUUGUGUCCUAUAUUUUCAAGGUCUUACUGCCACUCUGUGCAAUUCAACAAGAUACAUUUUGAUUCUGAUUCUACCCCAAUCCAGUGCAUUCACAUGUCAAAGGAAUCAUAAGAACUGUGAGGUGAAAGGGGAAUGGUGAAAAGACCUUCUACCCCUGGUCACCUAGUGUAAGUGACAUUCUGCUUGGUCUUCCCAAAUAAGGCUGGCCAAAGGCAAGGAUUAAUUCUGAUUUAAAUUAAUUGCACUUUUAGUUUCCAUUAAAUAUAAGUAAAAAUAAAUUUUACUAUGUUUUAAUUUGUAGUCUGAAAGAGUAAAGUCUGAGGAACAGCAGUAAUGUAUGCCCCUUGCCUGAGGGAACAGGCUUUUCCUGACCACCCAGGUCAACUGUGGGUUCCUGUCUUGUCCAUUGAGUCCAGUCAUAAAGCUCCUGGGUACGUCUCUUCUGCAAAACUCAGAUCAGAAUAUUUAACAACAAAGAAUGGUUUAUGGAUUAACUGCCAAGGGUUCUGAGACCAUUAACUGCUUGAUAAAUGCUAAUGAGACAGGUCAGGAAGCUGCUAUUAUUCGUUCACCUAAUAUAGAUUAUUCCACCCACUCUGUACAACCACCAUAGGUCUUGUUGUUUAGAGACCAGUUUUUCCAUUGUAUUGCCAUUCUACAUUGUCCUCCAAGUAAUUAUAAAGUCUUGAGUUUUCAACCAUCGCUGCUGAGUCCAUCUUUAAGGCCUCUGUGAUGAUCAGAGGGAAGGUAAUCUGCCUAAAGCCUUGGAUUUGGCUUGGAAUCACCAGGCGUCAUAAGCCUGUAAGUUGUAACAAAGACAUUUUAAUAGUUACUUUAAGGAAAAAUCAGCUGGGAAGAAAAACCAGGCUGAGGGGGAAGAGUAAGGAUGAUGAUUAUCUUCUAAGCUUCAAAUUAAAUCCAGCAGUUGGGCCAAACGCCUUAGAAGUACUUUAGAAGAGACUUUAGAAAAUAUAGGCUUUGCAAUUUCUUUGAUUCACAUCUUUCUGAAUCUAAACAUAUUUGAAACAAGCUAGGAAAAAAGAGAAGCACUGCAAGCACCUCUGUCCUAAGGAAAUAAAAAACAUGCUGCAUUUACCCAAUGUUGCCCUGGGAAAAAGAAAAUAAAUGUCACUUUAAUAUUGGGUUACAAAAUGUCCAGCUCCAGUCCCACCUGGGUCCUGACUCCUUCAGAGUUCCUGAGAAGGUCCUCAAACCUAUCUCUCCAUCACUUUCUCCCUCUACCUGGGGAAAAAAGGUAAUUAAAACAACUGUCUCAUACCUCACAAGUGAGUCAUAAAGAUGAGAGCACUGAUUCAAAGAUGAAAGGCUCAAUAUAAAUUCCAGGGUUAUUCUCAGGACAUGAGUGUGAACAGACAGAUACGUCCUGAUUAAGCAAUAUCUACCUGUCAGUGGACCUAGACUAGGAUGACCUUGACAUGCAGAUGGAAGAGCAGGAGUGCCUUGGACUCAGAAUCACAGUAUCUCAGAGCCUCUCCUUGUCAUAUGCCACUUCACUGUCCAUACUACGUAGCUCACUGUGAAGAUGGAAUGCAUAUCUGCUAGGCCCCCAACCCUGCAAAAGACAUACAUGUUUAUCCCACUCAAAAUGUUGCAAAGCUCUUCUAGGUCUUGAGAUACAGGAAUUAAAUAAUAUAUAGCUCUUACCUCUUCAGAGCUCAUAUUAACCCAUGCAUUCUCUAUGUAGCCUAGAGAGAGGUGAGUCUGCUAGAGCUUAGAGCAUCCCGAAGAAAGAACCUCCUUUAAAAAAAAAAAAAUCUACCCAACAAUUGUGUAGCUGACUUCCAUUAGCAACAACUAUAUUAGGCUAUGACAUGUACCGUGAAGAACUGAAAUGUUGUCAUUUUUCCUGUUCUCAAAUCAAAAAGGUAGUGAAUUUACACCUGCAAUUACCACUGAAAAUAUUUUUAAAGGGGCUAAGCUGAAAGCUCCAUCACUCUGCUCUCAGAAUCAGAAAGUUGAAGGGGUCCUUCAACCCAGAUGACUAACCAGUGUUUGGCAGUUGACUAGCCUCGAGAUGAUCUCCAGCCUGGCCAGGGGUAUAGAGAAUGAAAUACUUUGUGUGUCUUGACACACGAGGGACAGCAUGCCAAAUUGCUCUACCCUGCCAUGGGUCCCUGCCUUCCUCCUGAUAUUUGGGGGUGAGGAAAUGAAUGACAAGUUAGAGUGAUGCCUUGAAAGCUUGUCAAGCUACACCUAAGUCAUUUGAAGCAGCUGUCCCAACCCUGUUUUAAAGGUCACUAGGCCCUGACCUCCCUUAGAAACCUAAGUCCAACAUCUGACCCAUUUAGAAUUGCAAAACCUUCCCUAUGUGGAAAUAUAGAAUAACAAUUGAGCUCAGUUUCUAGUAAUCUCGCUAUAACUGUCACACCUUUCAUUUUCCAAACUGUCAUCAGUUUGGCUUUCUUCAAAGGACAUCUGAUAAUUGAUGAUUUUUCUUAAAAAUUCCAUCCAGUUUUGUCAUAUCUUUUUAAAAAUAUUUAAGCUAGCUGGGAGAAUGUGGUAUCCAUUUCCUCAUCUUUAAAAUGAGACAAGAUGAUUAAGAUUCCUUUUGUGAAGGAUCUCAAUUCUUGAGAAACUCUGCACAGUAGUCUAAAGCAAGGAUCAGCCCACUUUUUCUGUAAAUAGCCAGAGAGUAAACAUUUUUGGGCUUUCUGGCCAUGGGGUCUCUAUAACACACUACAAGGCCAUUGUAGGGCAAACAUAGUCACAGCCAAUACAUAAGCAAAUGAAUGGAGCUGUGUUCAACAAAGCUCUAUUCACAAACACAGGUGGCAAUAGAUUUGGCCUGGAGGCCAUAGUUUGCCAACCUCUUGUCUAAGUUUAAAAAACAAGCUCUUACUCUGUGUAUUCAUGCCACCCUUCCUGCCCCUGUGUCUAGGCUCAGAUUUUCUGAAAUGACCCACAACCAUUCAGCAAUCAGGGGACUUAGAAAUUCCUCAGUUGCCUAUGUAUAUAAUACACAUAUACACCCACACACACAAAGAGGGUCAAGUUGGAGAGCCAAACUUCAAGAGCAGAAUGUUUUUACCUCCUUCCAUUCCUGAUUUUCAGGAUGAGUGGAAGCCUACAUUUUUGUUUCCUGUGUUUUGUAAUGAGACUCAAUUAUUUUAAAUUUCUUGAGCCAUGUUUGCCAAUAGCUCAGUACAGUUAAGGAAGAAAUUUCUCUGGUUUGAAGUACAGUUGGUCCAUAGACCAGGAGCCACAGCAGCGUCUGGAAGCUUAUUACUAUGUGGGCUGCUUUCACACUUGGGCUGCCGUGGAUAAUGCCGCCAUGAAUGUGGGGUACAAAUCUGUUCAGUUCCCAGCUUUCAGUCCUUAGGGGUUCAUGUCCUCUGUGUCAUUUUAAUUAGCUUUUACCAAAAUGCCUCCCUCCAUCCAAGAAGACCAUUCUUUGAACCUAGUGUGUAUCCUUGAAAGAGCUGUCAUCAGCCUGCUAAGAGAAGAAGUGCAAAGCUCCUGGUUACCAUCAGCUAACCCAGCAGAGCGACAGAAGUUGUGGUCAAAACGUCCCAAGUUCUUACUUUUUAAUGUCAUGAACUUCAAAAUCCCUAAGAACUUCUUUGAAAAACAUAUGGCAUAACCUCCCAAACAGCAAUUAGGUAGCAGGUGAAAAGACAGCCAGGCUGGGUAGAGCAGGACAUCUCAAGGUGGGCCACCUGGGUGUUUGGUGCUCAAAGGGAAAAAUGCUGGAGUCCAACUGAAUAGAGCUUCUCUGAUACCAUCACCCAGGAUAGAGAGGAGAAGAUGUGAGAGGAGCAGAGCUAGUAGCUCCCAUAUGGAGGAACAACUGGACUCCUAAGGAUAGAAGAACAGGCCCUCCAUGGCAUCCUGGGGCACAGGAAUACAAGAAUUACAGGUCUAGAGUUGGAUCACACACCACGUCCCACAGGUCACAGGGCCAUGUAUGUUGAACAGGACUUGGCAGAGAUCUUCCCUGAAUAGGUCAGUCAGGUUCAAUCACCCACAAUCCAACUGCCCCAUGCCAGACUUCAGCAGAUCACAGUAUAAGGCAAGAAAGUAGCCAGAACCAAGGAGUUUGGGGAUAAAAUCACACUUCUCACAUCUGUUCACAACCCACUUUCACCUUCAGUUGUACCAUCAAAGGGUGACACCCAGAUCUUACCAAGCCAGAAAUGGCAUACCGACUUCCUUUUUGAGCCACUCUUGAUCCGUUUGCAAAUACCCCAUUUGGCACUGAUUUCACCAGCUUACUCAUCCACACUAGGCACUGCCCCCACAGCUGGGGCACAGCUGUGACUAAGAUAACUCCCCGCCCUCAAGAGGCACACAUCCAAUGAGGAGACCAAUCAUGACAAGGCAAUUACAAAAGAGUGGCCAGAGCUAUGAAAGACACUGAGGGUGAACUAAAGGCACAGAGAGGGGGGUCUGUAACCCAGAAGGAGCAGACAACCCAGAGGACCAGGACCACUCAGCAAGUUUGUAUUAGUUUCCUCUUGCUGCUGUAAUAAGUUAACAUAAACUUACUGGCUUAAAACAAUACCAACUUCAUUUAUCUUAGAGCACCUGCGAGCAAACAUCCAAAAAUGGGCUUUAAGGGGCUACAACCAAGGUGCUGGCAAGGCUGUAAUCCUGCUGCAAGUGCCAGUGGAGAAUCUAUGCCUUGGCUUUUUCAGUUUCUCAAGGCCAUGUGCUUCUUCACUGGCUCAGGGCCUCCUCUCAACAAUGGCAUCACUCCAGCCUCUGCUUCACUGUCCCAUCUCCUUGCUGACCCCACAUUCCUGCUUUCCUCCUGGAAGGACCUUGUAAUUACAUUGAGGUCACUUGGAUAAUCAAGGAUGCUCUCCAACCUCAAGAUCCUUUAACAUAAUCACCUCUGCUAAGUCCCUUUGCCAUGUCAAGCAACAGGUUCAGUUCCCAGGGACCAGGCUAUGGUUAUCCUGGGCAUGGGGGAGGGAGUAUCAUUCUGUCCACCAUGAAAUCAAUUCCUUUAAAAAUGACUUACUUAGGCAAAGGAUUUUUCACGUCAUUAUUACCCUCCUGAAAAGACCACCUUCUUUUUUUCUUGAUCUUUUUUUAUGGAAGAACACGCACAAAUUUUCUUUUACUUGGAAACCUGCCACAAAUCACCUACAUGUGAAAAUCAUUGUGGAUGAUAUCAGCAAACAGCAGGCAUCUUCUGCAAAGCCUGUGCUGAUUUACCAUUACCGUUUCUCCACAGUGUUUCUAUAGUGAGUCACUCUGAUUCUCUGACUCUCCAAAGGCUGAUUUUUCUCAUAUGCUGGUCCCAUUACUCCUUUUCCCUUAGGUAGCAACUAGCAAGCCCCCUGAGUGCAGACAUGACUUUUCAUGAGCUGAUAAAACAUGCAUUAAGUCAAUUUUAGUUUAUAAAUUAGGCCAAGGAAUAGAAUGCAGAACUAUUUCCUGAAAUUGUUUAUUUGUAUCUAUAAAAUCAUGACUUGAAAGUCUUGAGUCUUGCAGUGUAUUUAUUACUAUAUUUCUUUAAUCGUGGGGUGUGAUGGAGGAAAAAAUGAAUCCAAAUUGGCACCAAGUAUAAACUUUGCUCAAAUUCUCACAGAUGACUAACGGUAUAACCCGAACAAAAACCUGAGCCUGUGGAAUCCAGACUCAGCACUUUUUGCACCAAUCAUGCUAUCUCUUCUAUGUCAUUCUUCUUUUCAAGAUUUAAAAAGAAAUAGGAAUACAAUUGAGUAAGUGUUUGUCCUGAUUUUCUUCACUGAAACCUCCCACCAAUAGUAGUAAUCGGUGUUCUGUGGAGUCCUUCCUGUUGGUGGAUGUUUGACUUUCUGAAAUAUAAACAAGUUUCAACAAGAGGACAGAGAAUAUGUAAUCAAUAUACCUUGGCUCCUGUUCAGAAUGGCCAUGCCUCUGGUACUUGAUAUCUUUGCGGAAAAUGGAUAUCAGAAAGGAAGAUCGUACUUCAUUUAAAAGCAGAACAACAGAUGUAGGGGCUAUGGUGUCAGUGAGAAUCAGUUACAUAUCUAAUGAGAGUCUUUGUGGAUAGCAAAUAAUGACAAUAUGGCAGGUCUUUCAUUUCUCUCUAGAAUUCCCCUGAGUGGCUCCUCCAGAUGCCCUCCCCCUCCACAGCCUCUUUCUCACAGCCAGAUGGCCAUGGAGUCGAAGGGUAGGGGCAGAUCCAGGCCAGCCACCACCAGCUCCCUGGAUGUUCCUCCUCCCCACCUCAAAAUUGCUCUUCCCCUUCUCCAUCAG